GUAGCACCUAGCUAGUCAGUACGAGUGAGCAUUGCUUCAGUGCGGGGGCGCGCACGCGCACACACACAAGUCACAGCGGGACACACACAGGCCUCAAAACACCCAGUCAGAUGCCAUAAAUGUCGGAUUGAUUUCGUUUGGCGGGAUAACAAGACACACAGAGUCAUCUCCCCCUCUACUCUACAACAACAAAAUAAUUUCAAGAAUUUUUAAACACCAACCCUAGCUAGGUCAUGGAGGACCACCCCGAAACUUCCCGAAACCGCUCUAAGAGGAAUCGGUCUAAGAACGCGACCGAUGAGAGAACAAGUGAGGAGGUGGAGGAGCGCGAGGAUGAUUUCGAAGAGGUUCGCCCUAAAUCCAAGCGUAAUCGUGCUGCCAAGGAUGACACUCCCGCCGCCGUCCUCCUCAAUCCCAACCAAAGCUUGAUAGAUGUUAUUAAAGGGAAUGGGGUACAAAUUCCUCAGGCGGUGAAGCUUUGGGUUGAGCGAUAUGAGAAGGAUCCAAAACUUGCAAUGGUUGAGCUCUUGACGAUGCUGUUUGAGGCAUGUGGAGCCAAGUAUAGUAUCAAGAAAGAGUUGCUGGAUGAGACUGAUGUUGAUGAUGUUGUCGUUGCUCUUGUCAAUCUUGCAAGAAAUGGUGAAGUUGAAGAUUAUCAGAGUUCAAAGAGGAAGGACUUCAAACACUUUAAAGAUAACCUCAUCACAUUCUGGGACAAUUUGGUUACUGAGUGCCAAAAUGGGCCCCUGUUUGAUAAGGUUUUGUUUGACAAAUGCAUGGACUAUAUAAUAGCACUGUCAUGCACUCCACCAAGAGUUUACCGUCAAGUUGCAUCCUUGAUGGGUCUCCAACUUGUCGCGUCAUUCAUAACAGUAGCUAAAGCGCUUGGCUUACAACGAGAAACUACUCAGAGACAAUUAAAUGUGGAAAAGAAGAAACAAAUAGAAGGACCUCGUCUAGCGUCCCUAAAUAAAAGGUUAUCAGCAACUCAUGAUAAGAUACUUGUACUAGAGGACUUGAUGCGCAAAAUAUUUACCGGGUUAUUCGUGCAUCGGUACCGUGAUAUUGAUCCUAAUAUUCGAACAUCAUGCAUUGAGUCUCUUGGUGUAUGGGUUUUGUCCUAUCCAUCACUUUUCUUGCAGGAUUUAUACUUAAAGUAUCUUGGAUGGACACUAAAUGAUAAAAAUGCAGGUGUCAGAAAAGCAUCUGUUCAAGCAUUAAAAAAACUUUAUGAUGUGGAUGAUAAUGUGCCCACUCUCGGUCUUUUUACUGAAAGAUUUUCCAACCGGAUGAUUGAGCUUGCUGAUGACAUUGAUGUUUCUGUAGCUGUUUGUGCGAUAGGACUUGUAAAACAAUUACUUAGGCAUCAGCUCCUACCUGAUGAUGACUUGGGUCCGUUAUAUGAUUUACUUAUUGAUGAUCCAGCAGAAAUCAGGCGUGCCAUAGGAGAAUUGGUGUAUGAUCACCUAAUUGCACAAAAAUUUAACAACUCUCAAUCUAGCUCAAAAGGCAGUGAUGAUGGCUCUUCUGAGGUUCAUCUUAGCAGAAUGUUGCAGAUUUUGAGGGAGUUUUCAGCAGAUCCAAUUCUCAGUAUCUAUGUUAUUGAUGAUGUUUGGGAGUACAUGAAAGCAAUGAAGGACUGGAAGUGUAUUAUUUCCAUGCUCCUGGAUGCGAAUCCAUUAAUUGAGCUUACCGAUGAUGAUGCUACAAAUUUGGUUAGACUUCUUUCUGCAUCUGUCAGAAAGGCUGUGGGAGAGAGGAUUGUUCCAGCAUCAGAUACUCGAAAGCAAUAUUACAAUAAAGCUCAGAAAGAAAUAUUUGAAAAUAAUAGACGGGACAUAACUAUCGCCAUGAUGAAGAACUACCCGCUACUUCUGCGCAAAUUCAUGGCCGACAAAUCAAAAGUGCCAUCGUUGGUUGAGAUCAUUGUGCAUAUGAACCUAGGGCUUUAUUCCCUGAAGAGACAGGAGAGUAAUUUCAAAAAUGUCCUUCAGCUCAUGAAACAGUCAUUUUUUAUACAUGGUGACAAGGAAGCACUCAGAUCUUGUGUGAAGGCUAUCAAGUUCUGUUCCACCGAAAGUCAAGGAGAGCUGAAAGAUUAUGCUCUAAAUAAAUUGAAGAAUCUUGAAGAUGAACUCAUUAAUAAGCUUAAGUCUGCAGUGAAAGAAGCAGCGGAUGGUGAUGAAUAUUCUCUGCUUGUGAAUUUGAAAAGGUUAUAUGAGCUUCAGUUGGCAUGGUCUGUACCUAUUGAGAGCUUAUAUGAAGAUAUUGUUAAGGUUCUCCACAGUUUCAGAAAUGUGGAUGAUGAGGUUGUCAGUUUUCUUCUGCUCAAUAUGUAUUUGCAUGUAGCCUGGAGUCUGCAGUCUAUUGUAAACAGUGAAACUGUCUCUGAAGCUUCGUUAACUUCUCUACUGUUUAAACGCACUGCCUUGUUUGAGGAACUUGAGUACUUUCUUGGAACCCCUUCUGAAGAUAAGGAAGGGAAUAAAUGUGGAAAUCAGCUUGCUUGUAGAGUUUGUAUUAUACUUGCAGAAGCAUGGUGUUUGUUCAGAAAGACUAAUUUUUCUUCAACAAAGCUGGAACAUUUAGGAUAUUGUCCAGAUACAUCUGUUCUACAAAGGUUCUGGAAACUUUGUGAACAACAGUUAAAUAUUUCAGAUGAGACAGAAGAUGAAGAGACAAACAAGGAGUACAUUGAGGAGACAAACAGAGACGCAGUUAUGAUUGCUUCAGCGAAGUUGGUAGUUAGCAGUGCAGUUCCCAGGGAAUAUCUUACUCCGGAGAUCAUUUCUCACUUUGUGAUGCAUGGAACAAGUGUUGCAGAGAUAGUCAAGCAUCUAAUCACCGUCAUAAAGAAGAAUGAUGAUUUUCCAGACAUUUUCCUAGAAGCAUUGAAAAGGGCCUAUGAUCGGCAUCUAGUGGAUCUUUCAAAAAGUGAUGAUGAAUCUUUCACCAGCAAAUCUCUCAUAGAGUGCAAGGAUCUUGCUGCUCGACUUUCUGGGACAUUCGUGGGUGCUGCUCGGAACAAGCAUCGAUCUGAUAUUCUAAAAAUCGCCAGGGAUGGUAUUGAAUAUGCUUUCGUAGAUUCUCCAAAACAGCUCUCUUUUCUGGAAGGUGCUGUGCUUCAUUUUGUGUCCAAGCUUCCUGUGGUUGACAUCCUGGAAAUUCUAAAGGAUGUCCAGAGCCGGACAGAGAAUAUAAAUACUGAUGAAGAUCCUAGUGGCUGGCGCCCUUACCACACAUUUGUUGACAGCUUACGAGAGAAGUAUGUGAAGAAUGAAGGUUUGCCAGAUGAGAAAGAGAGGAAACGCGGUGGUCGCCCAAGAAAGCGGCGUAAUAUUGAGGGAAAGAGAUUGUUUGACGAGGACAGUUCAAGCGAAGAAGAGGAUUCUAUUAGUUGUUCAGAUCGAGAAGAUGCUCAUGAUGAAGAAGAGAAGCAGGAUGAGGAGGAAGAGGAUGAGGCUCCUUUGAUACAUUCCCUCAGGUCAUCAUCCAAGUUGAGGUCAUUGAAACUUUCAAGAGAUGAAAACAAAGGCCAUAGAAGGACAGGAGUUUCUGCUUCUAAAACAUCAGGGGCAUCAAACUAGCAACUGUCCCUAUCAUGUUUCGUUAUAUACAUGAAAAGCAUGGCUAACAAGUUUUCGUUAAGAUCUUAGAGCAGGGAAACAGUGUCAAAAGAUAGAAAGCAUGCCUCUUCUGCAUUUUUCUCAUAAAUUGCAUGGAAAAGUUGGAGCAGCCUCAAGUGUUUAAGUUGAUCUCUCCUAUCAUGCCAAAGCCAUAACAGAUAAGUGAAAAGCAAGGUUUCCAGGAUGAGGAUCAGCCUGAAAGAAAUCAGCUUUCACCUUCUCUGGAUGAAGGUGCUGAACAUGUUUUCUCUAGCUGCAGCGACGGAUAGCUGUUAAAGAAGAGGAUUCUGCCACGACCACGUCCAAGAUCAUAUGACCUGUUCUCACGGCAGAGUUCAGAAACCAUGCUGGUGGCGUGGACAAUAUGAGAGGAAAACCCACUGAUUCAUCCACUUAUCAGUUCCAUCCAAACCCCCUCCUUCCAUGUCGAACUAAACAUUCUAAAUAGAAACAUAUAGUGAUCUGUAAUAAUCAUUCUAUUCAACGUUGAGAAUUUUAAAAAACAA